GACGAACGCUGGCGGCGUGCUUAACACAUGCAAGUCGAGCGGUAAGGCCUUUCGGGGUACACGAGCGGCGAACGGGUGAGUAACACGUGGGUGACCUGCCCUUCACUUCGGGAUAAGCCUGGGAAACUGGGUCUAAUACCGGAUAUGACCUUCUGGUGCAUGCUGGUUGGUGGAAAGUCGGUGUCGUAAGGUGCCGGCGGUGGGGAGUGGGCCGCGGUCUAUCAGCUUGUUGGUGGGGU
rnacentral:rRNA from 1 species